GUGUCAGCAGCCGCGGUAAUACGUAGGGGGCAAGCGUUGUCCGGAAUUAUUGGGCGUAAAGCGCGCGCAGGCGGUAGCUUAAGUCUUCUGUUUAAUCCCCGGGCUCAACCCGGGUUCGCAGAGGAAACUGGGCCGCUGGAGUGCAGGAGAGGAAAGUGGAAUUCCACGUGUAGCGGUGAAAUGCGUAGAGAUGUGGAGGAACACCAGUGGCGAAGGCGACUUUCUGGCCUGUAACUGACGCUGAGGCGCGAAAGCGUGGGGAGCAAACAGGAUUAGAUACCCUGGUAGUCCACGCCGUAAACGAUGAGUGCUAGGUGUUAGGGGUUUCGAUACCCUUGGUGCCGAAGUCAACACAGUAAGCACUCCGCCUGGGGAGUACGCUCGCAAGAGUGAA
rnacentral:rRNA from 1 species